GCGGACACUACCUCCGUCCUUCACGGACC
rnacentral:piRNA from 1 species